ACAGCCUGUGGGCUACGGGAACGCGAUCCGACUCGGCGGCCCUCCCUGCCUGGAUGGCCGGUCCCCGAGGCUGAGGAAGUGCAUUCCUCUUUCGGAAAUGGUCCCCAGGAAGCUUCUCCGUGUCCCCCUAUGGCCGGGCGAGUCUCCCGGGCCCCGAGAGGAGGGGGUGACUGGCCAGGGUCAUCGGCAGCGGCGGCAGGGGCCUGCAUAGGGCUGCCUCGGGGCGACUAGCAGGAUGGCCGCAAGCCUCGGCUGCCCCAGCCCCCAGCGCAUGGAAUGUGCCCCGGGCCCCAGGAGCACCAGGAACCGCGCUUGUGAGACGGAGCUUGGGCUGCUUGGAGCUAGUGAGCCACCGGCCACGGCAGGGAUUUGAGCAGAACUUGGGGGCAGAGGGAUGAGAUGGUGCAUCCCUUGAGGUCACUUCAGGAGAUGACACUCCUGUGGCUAAGUGUAGCUUCCCAGGUCAUGGCUCCCAGGUCAGGCCUGGUCAAUGGAGAAUUAAGUGGGCGUUGGGUGGUGGAUGGAUGUGAUUUGGCAGAGGGGACAAAUGUGACAACAGUGUAAUAAGGGCCAUGUUGGGGAGGGUCAGGGGUCAGGGUCUGGCCCAACCUGAGCAGAAGGGAGGCUGCUCUCAGGGAUAUUUGUCAGGUAGGAAUGGGUGGAGUGGAACUACAGGGCCACCAUGUUUCCCAUGGGUCAGCCAUGGUGGCCUUGUCAUGUUUAUCCGUAAUCCUCAGUGUUCUCUGUGGUCCUCCCGUCACCCCUUUCAGACUGUCCUUUCAGUUCUCCACUGUCCCUGCAUCACCUCUGCCCCUGUCCCAUUUGUCUGUGUUCAGUCCAUGUUCCCAGGUCUUGAGGUGGCCCCUGGUUCUAUGCCCCUUACCUAAGACCCUGUGCAGGGAAUCUGUGAAAACACAGAGAAAAUAAAAAGUGAGGAAAAUACUACUCUUGCAUCCUCGA